GGUUAAGCGACUAAGCGUACACGGUGGAUGCCCUGGCAGUCAGAGGCGAUGAAGGACGUGCUAAUCUGCGAUAAGCGUCGGUAAGGUGAUAUGAACCGUUAUAACCGGCGAUUUCCGAAUGGGGAAACCCAGUGUGUUUCGACACACUAUCAUUAACUGAAUCCAUAGGUUAAUGAGGCGAACCGGGGGAACUGAAACAUCUAAGUACCCCGAGGAAAAGAAAUCAACCGAGAUUCCCCCAGUAGCGGCGAGCGAACGGGGAGGAGCCCAGAGCCUGAAUCAGUGUGUGUGUUAGUGGAAGCGUCUGGAAAGGCGCGCGAUACAGGGUGACAGCCCCGUACACAAAAAUGCACAUACUGUGAGCUCGAUGAGUAGGGCGGGACACGUGGUAUCCUGUCUGAAUAUGGGGGGACCAUCCUCCAAGGCUAAAUACUCCUGACUGACCGAUAGUGAACCAGUACCGUGAGGGAAAGGCGAAAAGAACCCCGGCGAGGGGAGUGAAAAAGAACCUGAAACCGUGUACGUACAAGCAGUGGGAGCACGCUUCGGCGUGUGACUGCGUACCUUUUGUAUAAUGGGUCAGCGACUUAUAUUCUGUAGCAAGGUUAACCGAAUAGGGGAGCCGAAGGGAAACCGAGUCUUAACUGGGCGUUAAGUUGCAGGGUAUAGACCCGAAACCCGGUGAUCUAGCCAUGGGCAGGUUGAAGGUUGGGUAACACUAACUGGAGGACCGAACCGACUAAUGUUGAAAAAUUAGCGGAUGACUUGUGGCUGGGGGUGAAAGGCCAAUCAAACCGGGAGAUAGCUGGUUCUCCCCGAAAGCUAUUUAGGUAGCGCCUCGUGAAUUCAUCUCCGGGGGUAGAGCACUGUUUCGGCAAGGGGGUCAUCCCGACUUACCAACCCGAUGCAAACUGCGAAUACCGGAGAAUGUUAUCACGGGAGACACACGGCGGGUGCUAACGUCCGUCGUGAAGAGGGAAACAACCCAGACCGCCAGCUAAGGUCCCAAAGUCAUGGUUAAGUGGGAAACGAUGUGGGAAGGCCCAGACAGCCAGGAUGUUGGCUUAGAAGCAGCCAUCAUUUAAAGAAAGCGUAAUAGCUCACUGGUCGAGUCGGCCUGCGCGGAAGAUGUAACGGGGCUAAACCAUGCACCGAAGCUGCGGCAGCGACGCUUAUGCGUUGUUGGGUAGGGGAGCGUUCUGUAAGCCUGCGAAGGUGUACUGUGAGGUAUGCUGGAGGUAUCAGAAGUGCGAAUGCUGACAUAAGUAACGAUAAAGCGGGUGAAAAGCCCGCUCGCCGGAAGACCAAGGGUUCCUGUCCAACGUUAAUCGGGGCAGGGUGAGUCGACCCCUAAGGCGAGGCCGAAAGGCGUAGUCGAUGGGAAACAGGUUAAUAUUCCUGUACUUGGUGUUACUGCGAAGGGGGGACGGAGAAGGCUAUGUUGGCCGGGCGACGGUUGUCCCGGUUUAAGCGUGUAGGCUGGUUUUCCAGGCAAAUCCGGAAAAUCAAGGCUGAGGCGUGAUGACGAGGCACUACGGUGCUGAAGCAACAAAUGCCCUGCUUCCAGGAAAAGCCUCUAAGCAUCAGGUAACAUCAAAUCGUACCCCAAACCGACACAGGUGGUCAGGUAGAGAAUACCAAGGCGCUUGAGAGAACUCGGGUGAAGGAACUAGGCAAAAUGGUGCCGUAACUUCGGGAGAAGGCACGCUGAUAUGUAGGUGAAGUCCCUCGCGGAUGGAGCUGAAAUCAGUCGAAGAUACCAGCUGGCUGCAACUGUUUAUUAAAAACACAGCACUGUGCAAACACGAAAGUGGACGUAUACGGUGUGACGCCUGCCCGGUGCCGGAAGGUUAAUUGAUGGGGUUAGCGGUAACGCGAAGCUCUUGAUCGAAGCCCCGGUAAACGGCGGCCGUAACUAUAACGGUCCUAAGGUAGCGAAAUUCCUUGUCGGGUAAGUUCCGACCUGCACGAAUGGCGUAAUGAUGGCCAGGCUGUCUCCACCCGAGACUCAGUGAAAUUGAACUCGCUGUGAAGAUGCAGUGUACCCGCGGCAAGACGGAAAGACCCCGUGAACCUUUACUAUAGCUUGACACUGAACAUUGAGCCUUGAUGUGUAGGAUAGGUGGGAGGCUUUGAAGUGUGGACGCCAGUCUGCAUGGAGCCGACCUUGAAAUACCACCCUUUAAUGUUUGAUGUUCUAACGUUGGCCCCUAAUCGGGGUUGCGGACAGUGUCUGGUGGGUAGUUUGACUGGGGCGGUCUCCUCCUAAAGAGUAACGGAGGAGCACGAAGGUUGGCUAAUCCUGGUCGGACAUCAGGAGGUUAGUGCAAUGGCAUAAGCCAGCUUGACUGCGAGCGUGACGGCGCGAGCAGGUGCGAAAGCAGGUCAUAGUGAUCCGGUGGUUCUGAAUGGAAGGGCCAUCGCUCAACGGAUAAAAGGUACUCCGGGGAUAACAGGCUGAUACCGCCCAAGAGUUCAUAUCGACGGCGGUGUUUGGCACCUCGAUGUCGGCUCAUCACAUCCUGGGGCUGAAGUAGGUCCCAAGGGUAUGGCUGUUCGCCAUUUAAAGUGGUACGCGAGCUGGGUUUAGAACGUCGUGAGACAGUUCGGUCCCUAUCUGCCGUGGGCGCUGGAGAACUGAGGGGGGCUGCUCCUAGUACGAGAGGACCGGAGUGGACGCAUCACUGGUGUUCGGGUUGUCAUGCCAAUGGCACUGCCCGGUAGCUAAAUGCGGAAGAGAUAAGUGCUGAAAGCAUCUAAGCACGAAACUUGCCCCGAGAUGAGUUCUCCCUGACUCCUUGAGAGUCCUGAAGGAACGUUGAAGACGACGACGUUGAUAGGCCGGGUGUGUAAGCGCAGCGAUGCGUUGAGCUAACCGGUACUAAUGAACCGUGAGGCUUAACCUU
rnacentral:rRNA from 1 species